AAUACCCUAUUAUUUUGAAAGUAAUUAAUAAAAUCUAAUUAGUAAUAGUUAAGUUCUUGAAAAUUAAAGAAUUUGGCGGUAUUUUAGUCUAUUCAGAGGAAUCUGUCCUGUAAUUGAUAAUCCACGAUUUUUUCUACCUGUUUUAUUAAUUUACAUAUCGCCGUAGUUUGAAUAUUUUUUAAAAAUUUAAAUGUUCAUGAUUUAUUUUGAUAAAAAAAAUCAGGUCAAGGUGUAGUUUAUAGAUAGGAAGAGAUGGGUUACAAUAAAAGUAUUUAUAAUGGAUUAAUUAAUUAAAUUUUUUUAUGAAAGUGGAUUUGAUAGUAAUUAUAUUUA
rnacentral:rRNA from 1 species